GACGAACGCUGGCGGCGUGCCUAAUACAUGCAAGUCGAACGGUCUUUUCUAUGGAAGCUUGCUUCCGCUGAGAAGAUAGUGGCGAACGGGUGAGUAACACGUGGGUAACCUGCCCAUAAGAGGGGGAUAACAUCCGGAAACGGGUGCUAAUACCGCAUAGGUUUCUUGGUCGCAUGAUCGAGAAAGGAAAGACGGCCUUUGUGCUGUCGCUUAUGGAUGGACCCGCGGCGUAUUAGUUAGUUGGUGAGGUAACGGCUCACCAAGACGAUGAUACGUAGCCGACCUGAGAGGGUAAUCGGCCACAUUGGGACUGAGACACGGCCCAAACUCCUACGGGAGGCAGCAGUAGGGAAUCUUCCGCAAUGGACGAAAGUCUGACGGAGCAACGCCGCGUGAGUGAAGAAGGUUUUCGGAUCGUAAAACUCUGUUGUCAGAGAAGAACAAGUCGGAGAGUAACUGCUCCGACCUUGACGGUAUCUGACCAGAAAGCCACGGCUAACUACGUGCCAGCCGCCGCGGUAACAC
rnacentral:rRNA from 1 species